AGAAUCUUUCACAAUGGGGGAAACCCUGAUGGAGCGACGCCGCGUGGAGGAUGACGGUCUUCGGAUUGUAAACUCCUGUCAUGAGAGCACAAAGUCUCAUGGCUAAUACCUGUGAGAACUGAUAGUAUUUCAAGAGGAAGAGACGGCUAACUGUGUGCCACCAGCCGCGGUAAUACAGAGGUCUCGAGCGUUGUUCGGAUUCAUUGGGCGUAAAGGGUGCGUAGGCGGCGAGGUAAGUCGGAUGUGAAAUCCCGGGGCUCAACCCCGGAACUGCAUUCGAUACUGCCUCGCUUGAGGACUGGAGAGGAGACUGGAAUUCACGGUGUAGCAGUGAUAUGCGUAGAUAUCGUGAGGAAGACCGGUGGCGAAGGCGGGUCUCUGGACAGUUCCUGACGCUGAGGCACGAAGGCCAGGGGAGCAAAC
rnacentral:rRNA from 1 species